CCCCGGCCGGGGCGCGCGACCGCGGCGCGUGGAGCCCGGAUCCCUCCGCCUGCGGGACGGAGCAGAGGCCGCGGAGACCUCAGCACCCCGGCCCCAGAGUUGGCAGAGGAAACAUCCAGGAGCCUCCUCGUCUUCAAGAAGAAAUAGUCACUCUCUUAUGAAAAACAAACAACAACAACAACAAAACCCUUUUAAAAUCCCUGGCGGCUUCUGGGCGUGGCGAAUUUUUAAGUGCUUCACAACAAGAUUGUGCGCACCAUUGCUUCUGAACACUGACCCGUCAGACUUCCUGUCCAGCAUCCUGUCACUUCCAAGUCCUCUGCUGGCUCUACCUGGAGCUUGAGGAAAUGAGUCUGGCUUGGACUUCAAAGCCUUGUAGAACAGAGGUUCUUCACAAGCUAAGGGGCAGGUUUACUAGACAAAGUCCUUGUUCUGGGUUUUGGUAGGAAAGACUAGGAAAGGCAACACGUGGUGGGUUAGAAACAUCAAUCUUGGAGUCAGACUGUCUUGGUUCAAAUCCGUCUACUGUUUAUGAGGAGCAGAGCACAUUUCUUAACUCUCCAUCCUCUCGGGUAAAAUGAAGGUGGUAAGGACAGUAUCUAACUUGUGAAUCUGGUGUGAGUUUAGUUCCCCGUAGACUAGGACAGUGCCUCGUGUUCCUCUGUAAUGACCCUCGGGCUGCUCAACUGGAAAUGAGAGCCCUUGAGGCCAGGAUGGGUCCAGACAAGGCUGGCUCAUGGGAGAAGUUCAAUAGGACGGCUCUGCAAAGAGCUUGGAGACGUACAUGUACCUCCUUAAACAGGAAGCUAGCAGGCUCCUAUUCCCUUGGCCUCCCUUUCCAACCCUUCUACUUGGCCCCUCCUUCCAGAAGCCCGAUUUAUACAGUAUCACACAUGGUCCCCAAAUGUUGCUCUUUAGUUUCCCUAGUAGUAUGGGGGGGUGGGGCUCCCAGCGCAGAGAUGCCAGUACUCUUGAGCAGGCUGGUUUGCCCCCAGUACUUCAGGGAGGGCAUCUGUUCUUCCCCAAGCACUUGGAGAAGGCAGCCUUGUUCGGCUCGAAGCAGUGGUGGGAGCAGGGUGGGAAAGUGCCCUCCCAGUGGGGAACCUCCCCUCACUGUGGCCUCUAUUUUUAGUGCUUCCCCAGGCUCGAGCUGGAGAAAGCGUUUAGUCAUCAGGGUGUUUAUUUUCCGGCUGUUUCCGACGUCGGGAAAAGCAGAAUGUUGAGACUGGAGAGAUCCAGGGCUGCUGUAAAAGACUUCUUAGGAACAGGCCUGGGAACACAGCCUUCAGACCGUUGGGUCCCAGCUCAUAGGAAAACAAAACAGGAUGGGCCCGGGACAGCUAAGCCCUCAGGAGUUUUCAACCUGCCUCAACCUUGGAGGCUAUCCAAGCUAGAGAACCCUCUGGCCCAACUCUAUUUGAAGAUUGUUCCUCAAAACAUCACCAAGCCCAGGAGAAAUUCUUUCCCAGAAUCCCCCUCCCCAACCUCUCCUAGAUCGGCCGGGUGAGCCUCCCGCCAACCACAACCCCAGCCAAUCUCCAAUCUGAGGCGGGCCUUCCAGAGCUAUGAUUGGUUGGCUGGGCAUUCUAGACCUGGAAUGUUGAGUCCUUAACAAAGGAAUGAGGAAGGAAGGUGAGUCACCUGGGGGAAGGUAUUAAAGGACUAGCUAGAAGGGAAAGAAGAGGGAAGAGCUCCGGGGAGGUGGGGCCCUGGACGCUAACAUGGUGACUUGACAGCUCACACGAGACCAGAGUAGGGGGCAGUAACACUCCAAGUGGGGCAAAAUUCAGAGUCUGAAAACGUCUUGGAAGAGAAGAGAAAAGGUAACAAUCGUGAGGUCUUGAUUUCCACAGAGGACCGAAAAGGGCCAAGUUCCUGAGUUCCUGCGGGGAUGCAGAGCUUUGCAGAGCUGGCGUGGAACGCGCUCAGCAAAUGUAUGUGCGCAGCUGUGUGAGUUAGGAUUGUGCAAACUCUACUCAACACCUCAUUUCUGCAUCGACAAUCGUGGUAGCCUACGACUCCACUUCAGGGUAGAGUUGAGAUGAGGGAUGGAUAGCCGAGUCCGCCGGAGUCAAGUUCGUGUGACACAGUAGUGCCCUACGCCGAGAGUCAAGGUGUCUGGGACCAGACGUGGGGAUAAGAGCGGAGGCCCCUGGAGCUGAGAGAGAGAGGUGCCAGAGCGGGUCCCGGGUCCGUGUACCCCCACAGGAGCUCCCUGCCCCCGGCUGGGCAGGAUGUGGUGGCAGCUGCAGUUGGGUGGGCAGGAUGUGGGGGUGGGGGCAGACGAACACAGCCCGACAGUAGUCUCCCCCCCAGCUCCUGCCUCCACCCCCUCCGGGUCACGUGCUCUCAGCUUGGGCACCGACGGACUAUUUCCCAUUUUCCGCGGAAGGACAUCUCAAACCCGCCGUCACGGGCCUUAGUUGUACCUCGCCAUUUUCUUGCCCCCAUCUCCAGCCUAGGACAGAAAGUUUGCCCAGGACACGUUUCUGUAAAGCGCGGAUUAACUCGGCAGAGGCCCCUUUAAAUGCAAAUGAUCGCCUCCUUGCUCCGCUCCCCCCCCAACCCCCAUCCCAACUUCUCUCCUCGUGCCCAAACUCCACCAGCUGCUAUUGACGUCAAUCGUGCGUCAGCAUCGCCAGCCCAACCAGACAGCACGUGGGGGGAAGAAGGCAAUCUUAAAGGGCCAGGCGCUCAGGGCCUGUUAGGUUACCGGAGAAAGGAAAAGCGAAGUGCAAUGUUGGGAAACUGUUGGAGCAGGAAGAAAUGCAGGGGAGACUUUGAGAAGGACUGCAUAAGGCCGGCGAAGUGGCUCAGCGGAUGAAGGUGCUUCUGUGCAAGCCCGAGAUUCAUUUCCCCAAUUAGCCUCUGACCUUCACGUACGUCAUUUUCUCCCCGCCCCCUCGCACACG